rnacentral:rRNA from 1 species
CCUACGGGGGGCAGCAGUCGAGAAUCAUUCACAAUGGGGGAAACCCUGAUGGUGCGACGCCGCGUGGGGGAAUGAAGGUCUUCGGAUUGUAAACCCCUGUCAUGUGGGAGCAAAUUAAAAAGAUAGUACCACAAGAGGAAGAGACGGCUAACUCAGUGCCAGCAGCCGCGGUAAUACAGAGGUCUCAAGCGUUGUUCGGAAUCACUGGGCGUAAGGCGUGCGUAGGCUGUUUCGUAAGUCGUGUGUGAAAGGCGCGGGCUCAACCCGCGGACGGCACAUGAUACUGCGAGCCUAGAGUAAUGGAGGGGGAACCGGAAUUCUCGGUGUAGCAGUGAAAUGCGUAGAUAUCGAGAGGAACACUCGUGGCGAAGGCGGGUUCCUGGACAUUAACUGACGCUGAGGCACGAAGGCCAGGGGAGCGAAAGGGAUUAGAUACCCGUGUAGUC